UUAUAAAAUAAAAUUAAUUAAUAAAAAAUUAAAUGAAAUCAUUAAAUUUAAAUUAUUUGGCGGUAUUUUGAAUCAUUAGAGGAAUUUGUUAAAUAAAUGAUAAUCCACGAAUGGACUGUCCUAGUAAAAUUUUAUGUAUUGUUGUAGUAAAAUUAUUUUAGAAGAAAAAUAAUUGAAAUAUUUAAUUUAAUUAAAAUUCAAAUCAAAAUGUAGAAUUACUAGGUUGAAAUGAAUUACAAUUUAAGAUAAUAUUAGAAUUAUUAUUUUAAUUAUAAUAGUGAAAUAGGAUUUAAAAGUAAAUUUAAAAAAAUAUUUAAAUUGAAAUUUUAAUUAAAAUAUG
rnacentral:rRNA from 1 species